rnacentral:rRNA from 1 species
GCGUCAAUGCGUGAUAUGGUACCUUUUGUAGAAUGGUCCGGCGAGUGAAUGUCACUGGCAAGGUUAAGCUCUUCAGGAGUGCAGCCGAAGCGAAAGCGAGUCUGAAAUGGGCGUUUUUAGUCAGUGGUAUUCGACCCGAAACCGGGUGACCUAGCCAUGAGCAGGCUGAAGUGGAGGUAAAACUCCAUGGAGGGCCGAACCCACUCCCGUUGAAAUGGUAGGGGAUGACUUGUGGCUAGCGGAGAAAUUCCAAUCGAACCCGGAGAUAGCUGGUUCUCUCCGAAAUAGCUUUAGGGCUAGCCUCAAUUAACAUUACCGCAGGUAAAGCACUGAAUGAGCUAGGGGGCGAAAGCUUACUGAACUCUAUCAAACUCAGAAUGGCGGAUAAUGAAUGAUUGGGAGUCACACUACGUGAGAUAAGUUUCGUGGUGGAAAGGGAAACAGCCCAGACCCACAGCUAAGGUCCCAAAGUACAGUUAAGUGGAAAAGGAUGUGAAAUUGCGCAGACAACCAGGAUGUUGGCUCAGAAGCAGCCACUCAUUCAAAGAGUGCGUAAUAGCUCACUGGUCGAGUGAUUUUGCGCCGAAAAUUUAACGGGGCUAAACUGUACACCGAAGCUUGGGAAUAUACAUUUGUAUGUUGGUAGGAGAGCGUUGUGUAAGGGGUGAAGUCGUAGCGAAAGCGGCGGUGGACUUUACACAAGUGAGAAUGCCGGAAUGAGUAGCGAGAAUUAUGUGAGAAUCAUAAUGGCCGAAAGACUAAGGUUUUAGAAGGAAGGUUCGUCCGCUUCUAGUUAGCCGGGAGCUAAGGCGAGGCCGAGAGGCGUAGUCGAUGCACAUACGGUUGAGAUUCCGUAGCUACCUUGCAUUUAAGCGAAGGGACACAUUUGAAGGGCAUGACCCGGGCGUUGGUUGACCCGGGCGUAAGGGACCGAAAAUAAGUAGGGAAGCAUGCUUGGAUGGUGGCGAGAAAAGCUUCGUGUAUAUAAGCAGGGUACCCGUACUGCAAACCGACACAGGUAGUCAGGAAGAGGAUUCUAAGGCCAUCGGGAGAAGCGUUGUUAAGGAACUCGGCAAAUUGACCCCGUAACUUCGGAAUAAGGGGUGCUCACGCGAGUGAGCCGCAGUGAAUAGGUCCAGGCAACUGUUUAUCAAAAACACAGCUCUCUGCUAAAUCGUAAGAUGACGUAUAGGGGGUGACACCUGCCCGGUGCUGGAAGGUUAAGAGGAGGGGUGCAAGCUCCGAAUUGAAGCCCCAGUAAACGGCGGCCGUAACUAUAACGGUCCUAAGGUAGCGAAAUUCCUUGUCGGGUAAGUUCCGACCCGCACGAAUGGUGUAAUGAUCUGGACACUGUCUCAACAACGCACCCGGCGAAAUUGUAGUACCGGUGAAGAUGCCGGUUACCCGCGGCAAGACGGAAAGACCCCAUGGAGCUUCACUGUAGCCUGAUAUUGGGUCUCGGUAUUUUAUGUACAGGAUAGGCGGGAGACUUGGAAACCAGCACGCCAGUGUUGGCGGAGUCACCCUUGGGAUACCGCUCUUAAAGUAUUGAGAUUCUAACCUGCAGCCAUGAAUCUGGCUGGGGGACAUUGUCAGGUGGGCAGUUUGACUGGGGCGGUCGCCUCCAAAAGAGUAACGGAGGCGUUCAAAGGUUCACUCAGCAUGGACGGAAACCAUGCCUUAGAGUGCAAACGCAUAAGUGAGCCUAACUGCGAGACUGACGGGUCGAGCAGUAACGAAAGUUGGAGUUAGUGAUCCGGCGGUAUGUGAGUGGAAAUGCCGUCGCUCAACGGAUAAAAGCUACCCUGGGGAUAACAGGCUGAUCUCCCCCAAGAGUCCACAUCGACGGGGAGGUUUGGCACCUCGAUGUCGGCUCAUCACAUCCUGGGGCUGAAUUCGGUCCCAAGGGUUCGGCUGUUCGCCGAUUAAAGUGGUACGCGAGCUGGGUUCAGAACGUCGUGAGACAGUUCGGUCCCUAUCUGUCGUGGGCGUAGGAUAUUUGAAGGGCGCUGUUCCUAGUACGAGAGGACCGGAAUGGACGCACCGCUGGUGUAUCGGUUGUCAUGCCAAUGGCACGGCCGAGCAGCUAUGUGCGGAUGGGAUAAACGCUGAAAGCAUCUAAGCGUGAAGCCCUCCCUAAGAUAAGAUAUCCCACUGUUUACAGUUAAGACCCCUUAUGGACUAUGAGGUUGAUAGGCUGCGUGUGUAAGUAUGGUGACAUAUUUAGCUAGGCAGUACUAAUAGGUCGAGGGCUUGACCU